GGAGGAAUUAGUGAAACUCCAUCACCUCAGUGGCUGUGUUACCAUGACUGACUGAAUUUGCGUAAUUGUUCAACCAUGAGUCUACCAGCCUUGUCAUAAGAAACAACAACAACCCACUGACAACUCAUCUGGAAAAUCACUGCUCUGUUCAAGUCAUUUCCACAGCACAAGAAAUCUCCGGCAAUGUGCCCAGAAGUUCUCGGGGAUAACGGGCUCAGCUGCAAAGUUCUUCCUUGAGCAUCUGAAUUUGGUUGUGGUCAGAUGGUGGAUAAAGCUGGACUUAUCUGAAUCUUCUUUCGUCACAUGUCUGGAGUGUCUGGAGUGGCUGGAAAACAGCUUCCUCACAAGGAAAAUGCAUUCCAAAUGCCAAACCACAAACUUCAAAAUGACAUUUUGUGGACACACCCCAUUUGUAUCUGACUCCUGCCUGCUCAUUUGCUUCUUUCCAUCGAGCUACACACAUCAUGAACUUGGAUUUUGUGCAUGACAUUGAAAUACUGAAAAGCAAAGUCAAUGCGGGCAUUUCAGGCAGGCUCUGUGUUGGUUUGGGACUGAGCUGUUUUUCCCUAUGCCAUGCUGUCUCCACCAGUCUAACCCUUAGCCCUACUGUGAACCACAGAAGGGCAGGAGCUUCCCUUUAGGAACUAUUUUCCACUUAAACAGAAACUGCUGGUUAACAUC